UACGUAGAGGGCAAGCGUUAUCCGGAUUUACUGGGUGUAAAGGGAGCGUAGACGGCAUAGCAAGUCUGAAGUGAAAGCCCGUGGCUCAACCGCGGAACUGCUUUGGAAACUGUUAAGCUGGAGUACUGGAGAGGCAAGCGGAAUUCCUAGUGUAGCGGUGAAAUGCGUAGAUAUUAGGAGGAACACCAGUGGCGAAGGCGGCUUGCUGGACAGAGACUGACGUUGAGGCUCGAAAGCGUGGGGAGCAAACAGG
rnacentral:rRNA from 1 species